rnacentral:lncRNA from 1 species
CCUUUUUUCACUUUUCAAGAAAAUACUGUAUGCUGAAGUUUUCUUUUUAGAAGUAGUCCUAGUGUCCCCAUUGACAGAGAUGGAAGCAGCUUCUGCACUAUGCAUUUGUGAACCCAACCUGGGAGUCUAGAGACCAACCUGGAUGUUCUCUAUUUGCAUGAGGUUUUUUUAAAUUACAGUUCAAUAAAAACCAUCUGACUUUAUAUGCAGUACUUUCCCCAGUUAAAUCCUCUGGAGGGAAACGUCACCCCUGGCUGACUAUCAGCCAUUAAGAUUGUUGAUAUCCAGUUGACAUGCAUGACGGACCUGGCCUAUACUCUCUUCCUUGGCACUAGGAUCAUCUACCCCGUCCCUGAUGGAGGACAGUGAUCAGGCGAAGCAAUGUGCUGUUUAGAACCCAAGGAAAUGAGUCUAAAACUGUUCUUAUGAGCCCCAGAUUUCUCCCUAUAUCCCUGACAGAUCUUAAGAGAAGUCUCUCCCCAGACUCCAUUAUGACUUUUGCGAGAGAGCUGGAAUCACCCAUGCACCCUUCAAUGGAAGCCAGAGAGACCUGCCUCCACUUCAUUUCAGGAAACCUCAACAUUGUUUCAUUUGUAAGAAAAUCCCAUAAAUACUUUCAUUCAGAAAAAAAGAAGUAUUUAUAAAAAUAGACAAUACCUUUGACAAUGCUCCUCAGAAAUGAAACUCAAGUAAUUUUGAAUAUUUUAAGAACACGAAGAUUUCUCUUUAAAGAACACACACAAAAAAAAACAAUGAGCCACUUAAAACUUGUCAGGUAUGCACACUUCCUAAGCAAGUUCAGGAGUUUAUAA